AUAUGCAGAUUUCUCUGCGCUGAUAGCCCUGUUCCCCAAUCUCUCUCUCUUUCUCUUUCUCUCUGUUUUUUUUUUUUUUUUUAAAGCCCACCUUUAUUUUCUCUCUUCUGCAUGACGAAGCUAAAAUAUCUGCCAGGCAGAGAUUUGAGGUACUUGCUUCAGGCACGAUUGGAGAUGUGGGGAAAGAAGGUGGGGAAUGCCCCAUUAAAGGUCUUAAUUGUGCUGCUCGUCUCCUUCCAUCCCCGUGCUCUGUGAUUAAAGUUCCCCAGGAUGAAGGAACUGGGAAGGGAGUCCAUAAUGGAGCAGCAGCAACAGCCUGCAGUGGAACCAGAUGUGCGGGACUUUUGAUGAUCUUUGACAUUAAAAAAAUCAGCAGGGAAAACACGUCGACACAAAAGCUGCAACCCAGCAGAUACAUUUUCUUCAUGGCAGCAGUUCCGCCGUGUCUGCCAAGGAGCAACAUGCUGUAUAUUGAAUUGGAUUUAGGAGGAAAGGAGAGGGGGUUCCUCUGUACAAAGCAGAGAUCAGAGAGCCCUGAGCAUAUGGUCCUUUCUGCCAGAGCUCAUAUGUUGGCAGCAAUGCCUGUCAACAUCCACCAGAGAGCAGAGCAGCUCUAACAGCGGAGUCUUUUCUGCUGUGGAAAUCAAUGGAGACAGCUACACAGCCAGAUCCUGGCCAAACAACGUGGAUUGCAGUUCAUUUCAAAGGUGAAAUGGGUGGUAUAUCAGACAGCUUAUUAAAGAGACAAGCUUGCUGCUUUCCCAGAGUGGGAUGACAGAACAAGUCAUGAUCUUGUAUGGAAGGAAAAUGAGAUCCCUAGUGAAGUCUACAAUGUGAUUGACUCUGAAGAAAGACUCUGAGACCCAUUGGUGCUUAAUGACCCUUACUGGCCUGUGCAAUAGGAACUGGUCACAUAUUUGAAAAAGUAAAUCCUGAAAUAGAAAAGCUGGGCUUUCUAUGUCAGUGUCUUGGAGGAGGAAAAAUUGAACAUAAUAGCAAAGGCAAGAAAAUCCAUGUGUUUUUGGUCUUUCUACAGACAAGUCUCAAGACAACAUACAUAGGCUUCCUAGGUGGUCUUACAAUCAGGCAUUAAAAAAAUCCAGACUGGAUUAUCUUCAGCAAGACAUCUGCAUUUUGAAUCUUCAGACCAUGCUCUUCUCCAUGGUAGAACCUGAAAUCCUAAAGUCUCUAUGGACCAAAUGGUACCUACUUGUUUGCAUACUUCGGAUGUUGCCCAUGGGAAUGGAUAUCACAGGAUUGUAACAGGGAAUGUAGCACUUUGUUUGUUUGUUUGUUUGCAUUUACAUCCCACUUUUCCUCCAAGAAGUCCAGAGUGGGUUACAUGGUUUUGUUUAUCCCCACAACAACCCUGUGAGGAAAGUAUUCAUGCAGAUUUACUGAAUAAACCUUGAUGGACAAGAAAAGAAAAGAAAAGAAAAGAAAAGAAAAGAAAAGAAAAGAAAAGAAAAGAGAAAUAGAACAAGGCAGAAACAGAAACUUCACUCAUCAUCAUAUAAAAGACAGGAAGAUACAAGGAACAGUACUGAGGUCAUGUCUACAUGAGGAAGAACUCAUCGGGGAGUUCUGAGCUGCAGGAAGAAGUGUGGUGUUCCUAGGGGCAGUCUCCAAUCAAUUUUUGUUAUACAGACUGUUUCCUGCUAGCUUGAGAAAAGUAUAACACAUCUUGUGGAGAGGUGCCUGAGGGAAUCUGAGGACAAUUCACAGACUCGGUUUAAGGUGCUGUCCUUAAUCUUGAAAUCCCUGGACUGGGGCCAGAUUACCUCAAGGACCACCGCCACACAUAUGGACCUGCCCAAACCCGAAGCGCAGUUUAAGAUGCCCUACUCUCUAUGCCACCCCACUGAAAUUACAAUGCCAUAGUUGGUGAGUUUAUUCAGUGUUCUUGGUGAGUGUAUUCAGAGUUGCUUGAGGAAAUAAGAAGGAUUUGCUGCCGACUGCAUCCAGGGUUGAGCUGGGAUUUGAAACCAGGUGGCCCAGGUCCAAGUCCAGCACUCACUUCCCACUGGCUCCCAAAUGGCAUCAAAGUUCAAGGAUAUGGUGGCGAUUAGUACAGAUGCUUGGAAACUGAGCAUAUGUAUAAAAACAACAACAAACCUUCAGGUUUUUCCCCUUCAUGAAUCGUGUUGCAGUUUUGAGACAGGUGGUAACAGAUGUUGGACUCUCAGUUGGAAGCGAGGAGUGGACUCAUAUGCCACUAAAGACCCUAUAACAAGCUGCUUUGAAGAAAAUGCAGCCCAAGGAAGACAUGCUUACUGUGCUACUUGAAAUUGUCUUUCAUCUUAUGCCCAUGUGGACUUGGUAUAUGAAUAGAGUUUUAAAGGCAUUGCAUUUAUUUAAAAUCGAGAAAAUAACAUUUAUUAUGAUUUCUGAAUGUGUGUGUGUGUGUGUGUCCACUUAACUAGUAGGUGCUAUUAAGCUACAUUUAUUAGAAGUGAAUACUGUGACCACUUGUGAAAGAAUUGAAAUAUGGUCCCUCGAUAUAGGAUUGGAGGGGAGUGGGAGAGAGUACUAACAAAAUGUUGUCACACUCCUAAGCUGAGUUAUUGAAAGACUUGUUUGAAAGCAUGUACUAUAUGGGCUAGAUAGGCUCAAUUUUAGGAAGGGAUCAGAGAAUACAGAGAGUAAUUUAUGCUGGGGGCUGAGAAACGCUACCAAAAAUGAACUUAAUGCUCUCUGAGGUGUACGGAAAGGAUAAUUGCCAACAGCAGCUGCACAGAAUUCAAAAUAAAAUGUAGGCAAUGCAAUACUGAAUUAAAUUAAGCAUGGAGCAUGCAGAGGGCCCAGUGAAAGGAAGAGUGCAUGUGAUAAGAAUAAACCUUAUUAUCAAAAUGUUAAUACAAAGGAUGCUUUCAUGCCUGGUAUGGUAAUGAGCUAGGUCACACCUGGCCACAUCAAAGUAGUCUGAAGAGUAUAAUUGACAGAUAUCCAUCCAACUUCAAGAGGCAGAGCUCACUGACACCUGGGAACUUUGAGACAUUGUAAUGCUGAGGUCAGACAAGGACUGUGACAGCCUCAGAGAGAUGUAGGACUCUCGAAAUCUGAGUGUCAUAUUUUUUGUGAUGUUUGUUCUUCUUUCACUUUGUGUGCCUGGACCUAUUCAGUGUCACCAGGGAAUCCUAGAUGAAGCUCUGUUUUUGAGCCUUUCCUUUUGAUUUCAUUGUGAUAUUUUCUUGUUUUUCAAGUAAAUAUUGA